AUGAACGCUGGCGGCGUGCCUAAUACCUGCAAGUCGAGCGAACAGACGAGGAGCUUGCUCCUCUGACGUUAGCGGCGGACGGGUGAGUAACACGUGGAUAACCUACCUAUAAGACUGGGAUAGCUUCGGGAAACCGGAGCUAAUACCGGAUAAUAUAUUGAACCGCAUGGUUCAAUAGUGAAAGACGGUUUUGCUGUCACUUAUAGAUGGAUCCGCGCCGCAUUAGCUAGUUGGUAAGGUAACGGCUUACCAAGGCAACGAUGCGUAGCCGACCUGAGAGGGUGAUCGGCCACACUGGAACUGAGACACGGUCCAGACUCCUACGGGAGGCAGCAGUAGGGAAUCUUCCGCAAUGGGCGAAAGCCUGACGGAGCAACGCCGCGUGAGUGAUGAAGGUCUUCGGAUCGUAAAACUCUGUUAUUAGGGAAGAACAAAUGUGUAAGUAACUAUGCACGUCUUGACGGUACCUAAUCAGAAAGCCACGGCUAACUACGUG
rnacentral:rRNA from 1 species